GUGCUCACUUUGGCAGUACAUAGACUAAAACUAGAAUGAUACAGAGAUUAGCAUGGCCACUGUGCAAGGAUGACAACAAAUUUGCAAAGGAUUCCAUAAAAAAA